rnacentral:rRNA from 1 species
CCUACGGGAGGCAGCAGUGGGGAAUAUUGGGCAAUGGGCGCAAGCCUGACCCAGCAAUGCCGCGUGAAGGAAGAAGGCUUUCGGGUUGUAAACUUCUUUGACAGGGGAAGAGCAGAAGACGGUACCCUGACAACCAGCCACGGCUAACUACGGGUCAGCAGCCGCGGGAAUACGUAGGUGGCAAGCGUUGUACGGAUUUACUGGGUGUAAAGGGCGUGUAGCCGGGAAGGCAAGUCAGAUGUGAAAUCUGGGGGCUCAACCUCCAAAUUGCAGUUGAAACUGUUUGUCUUGAGUACGGGAGAGGCAGACGGAAUUCCGGGUGUAGCGGUGAAAUGCGUAGAUAUACGGAGGAACACCAGUGGCGAAGGCGGAUUGCUGGACAGUAACUGACGCUGAGGCGCGAAAGCGUGGGGAGCAAACAGGAUUAGAUACCCCAGUAGUC